rnacentral:lncRNA from 1 species
CUAAGUAAUGCAGUGGUAAAAGUGGCAGUUGGGCUAAGCUCACCAUUUUUGGGCUAAGCGCAGCUUCAGCGUGACAGAGAAGCUGGCACAAUACCAAUAUCAAGGCCACACGCUAAGCGCGAGAUCAGUGUGCUAAGCGCAGGGGUUGUCAUUAGCCAGGCUCAAUGCAUGACUAGCGCUAUGCUCAAAUCCACUUACUCGCGCUAAGCGCAAUGUCGCGGCUUCAGAGCCUAUUUAAAGCUGGUUUGUGCAGAAUUAUGGUAACAAUCCAAAGAAUCACCAUCACGCAUAGAAGUCAGAGCACACCACAGUGCCUAUUUCGAGAAAAGAGCUCUGUAGGCAGCAAGAGGAGAAACUUUUGCAGAG